rnacentral:rRNA from 1 species
CCUACGGGUGGCAGCAGUGAGGAAUAUUGGUCAAUGGACGAGAGUCUGAACCAGCCAAGUAGCGUGAAGGAUGACUGCCCUAUGGGUUGUAAACUUCUUUUAUAUGGGAAUAAAAUGUUCCACGUGUGGGAUUUUGUAUGUACCAUAUGAAUAAGGAUCGGCUAACUCCGUGCCAGCAGCCGCGGUAAUACGGAGGAUCCGAGCGUUAUCCGGAUUUAUUGGGUUUAAAGGGUGCGUAGGCUGGGAGGUAAGUUAGCUGUGAAAUACCACCGCUCAAAGGGGUGAAGUGCCAUUGAUACUGCCUGGCUGGAGUGCAGAUGCGGUGGGAGGAAUGUGUGGUGUAGCGGUGAAAUGCAUAGAUAUCACACAGAACACCGAUUGCGAAGGCAUCUCACGAAUCCGCGAUUGACGCUGAUGCACGAAAGCGUGGGUAUCAAACAGGAUUAGAUACCCGGGUAGUC